rnacentral:rRNA from 1 species
AUUGAACGCUGGCGGCAGGCUUAACACAUGCAAGUCGAGCGGUAACAGAGAGAAGCUUGCUUCUCUGCUGACGAGCGGCGGACGGGUGAGUAAUGCCUAGGAAUCUGCCUAGUAGUGGGGGAUAACUUGCCGAAAGGUAAGCUAAUACCGCAUACGUCCUAUGGGAGAAAGGAGGGGACCUUCGGGCCUUUCGCUAUUAGAUGAGCCUAGGUCGGAUUAGUUAGUUGGUGAGGUAAUGGCUCACCAAGACCGCGAUCCGUAACUGGUCUGAGGGGAAGAUGAGUCACACUGGAGCUGAGACACGGUCCAGACUCCUACGGGAGUCAGAAGUGGGGAAUAUUGGACAAUGGGGGGAACCCUGAUCCAGCCAUGCCGCGUGUGUGAAGAAGGUCUUAGGAUUGUAAAGCACUUUAAGUUGGGAGGAAGAGCAGUUAACUAAUAUUUGACUGUUUUGACGUUACCGACAGAAUAAGCACCGGCCAACUUCGUGCCAGCCGCCGCAGUAA